UUUCAAAUGGUGUAAAGCACGUCCUCUUUUGAUGAGGAAAGAAAAAUUGAUAU
rnacentral:tRNA from 1 species